UCUUUCUUGAUUACUUUCUUUGAAUGUAGGCAUAAAUACUUUUAGGAAUGAAUUCAAAUUAUAAAGAAGUCGUGAAUCCUUUCUAUCAAAGAUGCAAACUAAGUGAAAAUACUUUUAGAUAGAAGUGCACUUAUAAAUUCAACUUGAAUAAAUCCAUCCGAGAUUUUGAAAAAGAUGCAACUUUAGAUAGACUUUGACUUCUUGCAAAAAUUCUCAAAAUUUUGAUGUAAUUCCAUUAAAUUUCUUAAGCAU
rnacentral:lncRNA from 1 species